rnacentral:rRNA from 1 species
CGGUAAUACGUAGGGCGCAAGCGUUAUCCGGAAUUAUUGGGCGUAAAGAGCUCGUAGGCGGUUUGUCGCGUCUGCCGUGAAAGUCCGGGGCUCAACUCCGGAUCUGCGGUGGGUACGGGCAGACUAGAGUGAUGUAGGGGAGACUGGAAUUCCUGGUGUAGCGGUGAAAUGCGCAGAUAUCAGGAGGAACACCGAUGGCGAAGGCAGGUCUCUGGGCAUUAACUGACGCUGAGGAGCGAAAGCAUGGGGAGCGAACAGGAUUAGAUACCCUGGUAGUCCAUGCCGUAAACGUUGGGCACUAGGUGUGGGGGACAUUCCACGUUUUCCGCGCCGUAGCUAACGCAUUAAGUGCCCCGCCUGGGGAGUACGGCCGCAAGGCUAAAACUCAAAGGAAUUGACGGGGGCCCGCACAAGCGGCGGAGCAUGCGGAUUAAUUCGAUGCAACGCGAAGAACCUUACCAAGGCUUGACAUGGGCCGGACCGGGCUGGAAACAGUCCUUCCCCUUUGGGGCCGGUUCACAGGUGGUGCAUGGUUGUCGUCAGCUCGUGUCGUGAGAUGUUGGGUUAAGUCCCGCAACGAGCGCAACCCUCGUUCCAUGUUGCCAGCGCGUAAUGGCGGGGACUCAUGGGAGACUGCCGGGGUCAACUCGGAGGAAGGUGGGGACGACGUCAAAUCAUCAUGCCCCUUAUGUCUUGGGCUUCACGCAUGCUACAAUGGCCGGUACAAAGGGUUGCGAUACUGUGAGGUGGAGCUAAUCCCAAAAAGCCGGUCUCAGUUCGGAUUGGGGUCUGCAACUCGACCCCAUGAAGUCGGAGUCGCUAGUAAUCGCAGAUCAGCAACGCUGCGGUGAAUACGUUCCCGGGCCUUGUACACACCGCCCGUCAAGUCACGAAAGUUGGUAACACCCGAAGCCGGUGGCCUA